rnacentral:tRNA from 1 species
CAAAAUGUAGCUUAACCAAAGCAGCUCGCUUACACCGAACAAAUAUCUGUGGAACCCAGAUCAUUUUGA